rnacentral:rRNA from 1 species
ACAGGGAUUGCCCUAGUAACGGCGAGUGAAGCGGCAACAGCUCAAAUUUGAAAUCUGGCGUCUUCGGCGUCCGAGUUGUAAUUUGCAGAGGGCGCUUUGGCAUUGGCAGCGGUCCAAGUUCCUUGGAACAGGACGUCACAGAGGGUGAGAAUCCCGUACGUGGUCGCUAGCCUUUACCGUGUAAAGCCCCUUCGACGAGUCGAGUUGUUUGGGAAUGCAGCUCUAAAUGGGAGGUAAAUUUCUUCUAAAGCUAAAUACUGGCCAGAGACCGAUAGCGCACAAGUAGAGUGAUCGAAAGAUGAAAAGCACUUUGGAAAGAGAGUUAAAAAGCACGUGAAAUUGUUGAAAGGGAAGCGCUUGCAGCCAGACUUGCCUGUAGUUGCUCAUCCGGGUUUUUACCCGGUGCACUCUUCUAUAGGCAGGCCAGCAUCAGUUUGGGCGGUUGGAUAAAGGUCUCUGUCAUGUACCUCUCUUCGGGGAGAACUUAUAGGGGAGACGACAUGCAACCAGCCUGGACUGAGGUCCGCGCAUCUGCUAGGAUGCUGGCGUAAUGGCUGUAAGCGGCCCGUCUUGAAACACGGACCAAGGAGUCUAACAUCUAUGCGAGUGUUUGGGUGUCAAGCCCGAGCGCGUAAUGAAAGUGAACGGAGGUGGGAACCUUUCGGGGUGCACCAUCGACCGAUCCUGAUGUCUUCGGAUGGAUUUGAGUAAGAGCAUAGCUGUUGGGACCCGAAAGAUGGUGAACUAUGCUUGAAUAGGGUGAAGCCAGAGGAAACUCUGGUGGAGGCUCGCAGCGGUUCUGACGUGCAAAUCGAUCGUCAAAUUUGGGCAUAGGGGCGAAAGACUAAUCGAACUAUCUAGUAGCUGGUUCCUGCCGAAGUUUCCCUCAGGAUAGCAGUAACGUUUUCAGUUUUAUGAGGUAAAGCGAAUGAUUAGAGGCCUGGGGGUUGAAACAACCUU